rnacentral:lncRNA from 1 species
AUAACUUCAGUCCAUAACAGUUUGGCAUAUCCACUAAAAUUUCUCAACAUCUAAUAAUUCAACAUAACAGCUAAUUGACUUCUACUUUCGAACUCAUCUAACACCCUAACAGUUAAACUCCACUUCAAACUAACUUCAGCCAAACCAUCUAACUUCCUCUAAAUUGUAAAAACAGUUGAAUUAGCUACACUCACUGCUACAGUUCCUAAAAAGUUCACUUCUAAUAGUUGUUAAACAAAGUUAG